rnacentral:rRNA from 1 species
UUCAGAUUGCAGGCUGAAACCCGCCUGCAUGAAGACGGAAUUGCUAGUAAUCGCGGAUCAGCAUGCCGCGGUGAAUACCGUUCCCGGGCCUUGUACACACCGCCCGUCACACCAUGAGAGUCGGUAACACCCGAAGCCUGUGAGCUAACCGUAAGGAGGCAGCAGUCGAAGGUGGGAUCGAUAAUUGGGGUGAAGUCGUAACAAGGUAAC